CACCAUCUUUUUCUUGCUUUUUCUCUAUUUCUAUCUCUCUUUUUCUGUCUCCUCUUCUCUCUCUUUCUUUCUCUCUCUCUCUCUCUCUCUCUUCUGCAUCUUCCUGUAUUCGAGUUACUUCCCUUGGCGUUACACAACAGUAGUCGAACAGGAGCAGUUUGGUUUGUCUUUACGGUGACCUAACUAAAAUGGAACCUACGGAUUACAUAUCAUUAUUUGAUGUAUGAAUAUCUAUAUAUAAGACCAAUCAUCGAUUCGCUAAACUUAACAACGAAACAUAUUCAGGGAACAUUAUUAAUGCAGUGGGAAGUUCUACAAAAAAUAAGAGCCAGACCAGCAAAGAAGAGGAACCAGAUAUCCUCCUAAAAUUCACACUACAGUUUUUAAAGAAAGAAAGAAAGAAAAAGAGCGGGAUGUUCGACUGGAUUGUGUCUGAUAAGUUUGUUGCUCGUUAAGACUAACCUGGGACUGAACAAUAACAGCAGCAGCAGCAACAACAACAACAACACAUAUACGACAACCUGGAAAUGUUUCUGUUAAAGUUUCUUUCAAAUGUGUUUCUUUUUAAUAACUAGAAUUACUACCAACAACGAAUCCCAACAGUAAGUGUAGCGGCAUAAAAUAUAUUAUAUAAUUCUCUUAGUGAAAUAAAUCACGUAUACACCCAAAUAAGCCAAACAUAAUCGUCUGGUACUACCCAACUUUUAAGAAAACAUCUGAGCGGUUUGUUAGUGACCAACACUUAUUCUUCUGCAAAGAUAACAGCUAAAUAAAUAUUGCUCUCUUUU